UGCAUUUUAUUGCCGUGUAAAAACAAUUCUGUGCAUUGGAUCUCCAAAUCUGAUUAAUGUUGUUCCUUUCUUGAACCACACGGAGACCAGAAUCCCAUUGUUGAUUUUCCGCUUCUCAGAUGAAUGUCCCAUGUGCUUCUUGUCCAUUAGAAAACGAUAAAUUUGGCCACUUAAUUUGACAAGUUCAUACAAAAUAAAAACUUAAUUUGACAAGCAAACUGGAUUUACCUGUUUUUACCUUGUCUAUCUCAAGAAUUUUCACACAAUGUAUUUUGUUAUAUGUACCAGAAAAUCACAGAUACUUUUGCUCAAUUUUCAACUUGUUUAUCUCACAUACUCUUAAAAUCCUUUCACCAUAUAAUAAUUUUAAUAAUCUUACAAAAUUAAUUUCAUUUGCAACUAAUUUAGUAAACCAAAUUCUUUUCUUUUGGCUACUUAAAACUUUUUUUUAACAAAAGAUGUUAUUUCAGAAUAAAAAAAAAUUACAAAAAUUAAAAUUCGAACAUUAAAUUUAUCGAAUAUUAUUUUUAAAAAUAAUUAUAUUAUUUAAUUAAAUUAAAUUUCGAAUUUAAUUUUCUUUUCACUAUAAAAGCUAAAUCCAAAAAAAUCUAUAUAGAUUUCUACGUAAUUGACCAAUGGAUUCGAGUCAUAAAAAUAAUUAUUGUACUAGAGAGAGAGCAAGGAUAAUACGACAAAAUAUAUAUAGCAAUACGUCAAUCACAGCCUCUACAAUCUAAAAUCAGAUUUAUCAUAUAAUUAUUUUUAUUUGUAAGAAAUUUUAAUAUCAUUAACAGGAAAAAAAAAAAUGGAAAACAUCCAUUUGCAAGUAAUGUAUAACACCAGAGAUCCAGUCUAGGUGCAAGGACAAUAAAAAAUGUUUUAUUAUUUUUUUGUUGUCUUUUUAGGUUUUCCAUUUCUUUUAAACAUGUUUUUGUCCAAAUUUUUGCACAUGCAUUGUAUUGUGAAUGUAGGUGAAUGGAUAAGAAUGGAUGUUCAAAAUCGAUUUGGAAAAUCAAGCCCUUAUCAAUGAUGAUAAGAGUUCCAUUUUCAAUCUGUUCGACAUCAAAAUGGACAAAAUAUUAUUAAAAGAUGACACGCAGGAAUGAAAUCAACUUGGAACCUGUCCUGUCUUUGUUCAAUGUAAGAGAGAAAAAGAGAGAGAGACGAAUUUUCGACAUUGUUAAUUGUACUUUGAACCUUUUUUUUUUUUU
rnacentral:lncRNA from 1 species